AAUACCCAGGGCUGUGAGUUUGGAUUUGAAUUCAGUUGCUGUGGAAACGGGGAGCGACGGGGAUAAAACUCUGGGAAGGGAGGGCCAAUCACAGGGGUCCACUCCUCUCCCCCAUCUCAUCGACGGCCUUCCGGCUUUCACGGUGAGGCGCCUCCUGAGUGUUCGACCUCGCGGCAGGGGAUACCAGUACCUGGUUGACUGGGAGGGUUAUGGCCCAGAGGAGAGGUGCUAAGUCCCUGCUAAGAACAUCCUGGACUCAGCCCUCAUUGCUGAGUUCCACCGCCGGCACCCUGGUCAUCCAGGUGAUUGAUGUUCAGCCCUCCAGGGCAUGUUUAUAAAAGAGACAUGGAGGAAGAAGGAUGUGGCACUGGGCAGACUCCUUCAAAAUGGUUUCUCUCCAGAAAUAAAAGAUUUGCAGAGCAGCCUGCACAAGUAAUCUGUCUGUUUCAGAGCGAAUGGCUUCUAAUGGGGUCAACAGAAGGACAUUACUCUGUGGCACAGACACAGACACAGCAAGCACUCCUCAAGCACUCACUGUAAUCUGAAAUACACUUGAUAUCCUAUCUGAACAAUU